rnacentral:rRNA from 1 species
GACGAACCGUGCGAACGUUAUUCGGAAUCACUGGGCUUAAAGCGCGUGUAGGCGGGCCGGCACGUCGGUCGUUGAAAUCCCCCGGCUCAACCGGGGAAGCGGCGCCGAUACGACCGGCCUGGAGGGACGUAGGGGGGGCUGGAACUUCCGGUGGAGCGGUGAAAUGCGUUGAGAUCGGAAGGAACGCCCGUGGCGAAAGCGAGCCCCUGGACGUUUUCUGACGCUGAGACGCGAAAGCCAGGGGAGCGAACGGG